GCAUGGCUGGCUUAAUCAGUGGAGUAUGAGACUCUUGAUCUCAGGGUUGUGGGUUCAAGUCCUAUGUUGGAUA
rnacentral:tRNA from 1 species